GGGCAGCAGGACUGUAGCAAUACAGUUGCUGGCGACCGGCAAACGGGUGCGGAACACGUACGCAACUUACCCAAAACUGGGGAAUAGCCCGGGGAAACCCGGAUUAAUACCUCGUAAGAUAAUGGAGUGGCAUCACUUUAUUAUUAUAGCUCCGGCGGUUAUGGAUGGGCGUGCGCCUGAUUAGGUAGUUGGCGGGGUAACGGCCCACCAAGCCUACGAUCAGUAACUGGUGUGAGAGCACGACCAGUCACACGGGCACUGAGACACGGGCCCGACUCCUACGGGAGGCAGCAGUAAGGAAUAUUGGUCAAUGGACGCAAGUCUGAACCAGCCAUGCCGCGUGAAGGAUGAAGGUCCUCUGGAUUGUAAACUUCUUUUAUAUGGGAAGAAAUCCACUUUUUCUUGAGUGGCUGACGGUACCAUAGGAAUAAGCACCGGCUAACUCCGUGCCAGCAGCCGCGGUAAUACGGAGGGUGCAAGCGUUAUCCGGAUUCACUGGGUUUAAAGGGUGCGUAGGAGGGCAGGUAAGUCAGUGAUGAAAUCUCCAAGCUUAACUUGGAAACUGCCGUUGAUACUAUCUGUCUUGAAUACCGUGGAGGUGAGCGGAAUAUGUCAUGUAGCGGUGAAAUGCUUAGAUAUGACAUAGAACACCAAUUGCGAAGGCAGCUCGCUACACGAAUAUUGACUCUGAGGCACGAAAGCGUGGGGAUCAAACAGGAUUAGAUACCCUGGUAGUCCACGCCCUAAACGAUGGAUACUCGACAUACGCGAUACACAGUGUGUGUCUGAGCGAAAGCAUUAAGUAUCCCACCUGGGAAGUACGACCGCAAGGUUGAAACUC
rnacentral:rRNA from 1 species